AAAGAAGUUCUGUGGGUAAAAUGUUAUCAAACAGCAUCAUGUGCCACAGAGGAAAUUGGGAGGGGAAGAGUCAGUUGAUGCAGCAAACUUCACUGUUGUCUUAAGAAAUUGCUACAGCCACCCCGGCCUUCACCAACCACCACCCUGAUCAGUCAGCAAUCAUUAACAUUGAGGCAGUUCCUCUACCAGGGAAAAGAUUAUGACUCCCUAAAAGCUCAGAUGAUGGUCAGCCUUUUUUAGCAAUAAAGUAUUUUUAAAUAAGGUAUGUACAUUUUUUUGAAGACAUAGAAUUCUAUUGCAUAUUUAAUAGUUACAGUGUAAACAUAACUUUUAGAAGUACUGGGAAACUAAAAAAUUCAUUUGACUCAUUGUGAUAUUUGCUUUAUUGCAGUGGCCUAGAAUGGAACCCACAGGAUCUCUGAGGUGUGUCUGUAUAUAGUUUAAAAAGGCCACUGGUAACAUCACCUCCAGUAACAAAAACAGCCUUGAAUUUCAGUUGAGAAAAGAUUACCCUGAUGUCAAUUUCUGGAAUCACAGUUUUGGAGGGUCACAUGUUGCAGCUAGGGAGACCUGCAGUGGCCUUUUAGGAUAACGCAACUACCUGCACACUGGGAAUGAGAAGAUUCAUUCAUUCAGAAGACCAGGGAGUCAGCCCUCUUAUCUCAUUACAAGAAAAAGCCAAAGCAAAAAGCAAUGGCUUAGGGCACAGAUGGAUCCUCUUGCCCUCAGGCCUGAUCACCACAAACUGACUUCAUCAGCAGGUCUGGAAUACUCAACAGUUCCAGAACCACUGUUCUUUCUGGGAAAAAUUAAAAAGUAAAACUGCUGAGGAAGGACCAAGAUGGUGACCUAGGAGGUCCUGGACUUCCCUCUUCCCUUGGAUGCACUCAGUGUAUAGCCACAGAUGGAGCAUUUCCCUCUAAAAGAAGUCCAGAAACUAGCUGAGCGACUUCCAUAUCAGGUCUUGGUACAGGCUCAACUACUGGGAACUAAGAACAAAGGCAGCAGACUGAAUGAUCACAGAGGUCUGAGAGACAACCAAGAACCUGGGCCAAGCUGACAAGGUUCAUCUCCUACAUAAGACCACUCUGUUAAGACUAGGAGAGGUGGCUGCUUUAUCUAAUGUGCAGAGACCAAGAGCUUCAAGAAAAAUAGAAAAACGGGAAUAUCUUUCAAACAAAGGAACAAGAUGAAUCUCCAGAAAGCAAUCUUAAUGAAAUAAGUGACUUGCCUAAUAGUUCAAAACAGUGGUUGUACAGAUUCUUACUGAGGUCAGGAGAGCAAUGUAUGAGGAAAGACAGAAUUUCUCCAAGAGAUACAAAAUAUAUUUAAAGAACAACCCCAAACAUAAAUCAUACGGCUGAAGAAUACAAUAACUGAACUGAAAAAAUUCAAUAGAGGGGUUCAAUAGUAGACUAUAUCAGGCAGAAGAAAGGAUCAGCCAACAUAAAGACAGAGCAAAGAAUCGCUUAAGGCACUAAUGGUACACCAUCACAGGUACAAAUAUGUCCAUUAUACAGGUUCGAGAAGAAAGGAGCAGAAAGCUUUUUGAAAGAAAUACUGGCUGAAAACUUCCCUCAGCUGGGGAGAUAAACAGACAUACACAUCCAGGAAGCCCAAAGAAUACCAAACAAAAUGAAUCUAAAGAGACACACACACCAAAACACAUAAUUAAACUGUCAGAAGUUAAAAGACAAGGAGAGGAUCUUAAAAGCAUCAAGAGAAGAACAACUUGUUACAUAUAAGAGCACUCCCAUAAGACAGUCAGCCAGUUUUUCAGCCAGAAAUCUAGCAGGCCAGAGAUAGUGGGAUGAUGUAUUCAAAGUGUGAAAGAAAAAAACUGCCAAACAAGAAUCCUCUACCUGGCAAAGGUGUCCUUCAGAAUUGAAGGAGAGAUAAAAGAGUUUUACAAACAAAAGCUGAAAAGAGUUCAUUACGAUAGCCCAGCCUUACAAGAAGUGUUAAAGGGACUUCUUCAAGUUGAAGUGAAGGACACUAAUUAGUAACAUGAAAACAUAUUAAAUUAUAAAACAAUAAAAUUUACUGGUAAAGGUGUGUGUGUGUGUGUGUGUGUGUGUGUGUGUGGUUUAAUCCAGAAUACUCUAAUAUUGUAAUGGUGGUGGGUGAAUCACUUAUAACUCCAGUAUAAAGGUCAGAAGACAAAAGUAUUAAAAAUAACUAUAGCGAUAAUUUGUUA